GACAAAUUGUAGUCGUUAGAAUUGCUGAUGGUGACAUGACAAAUCAAACUGCACUCUGAAAAAACACUAAGCAAGACAAGUCCAGAGACAGCAUAAACAGAUUUUUUGGGGAGGUCUCCAUCACCAACAGAAAGGAUGCAUGGCCGAGUGAAAAUUAAAUCUACAGCCCAGCAGGAGGAGUAGAAAAGAAAGGAGCGGGAGAAGAAACUGAAGAUAUGGCUGUGGCUGCACGAGAUGCCUGCUUUUCUAAGGUUCUGUAGAAAGGCAGAUUUCACCAUAGAUUUUGCAUGAUAGAGCGGGUGAUACUCGGCAUUGCUCUUAUUUGAAAAAAACAAAAUCAAUGAAAAGACAAAAACCAACAAUGAAUUGAUUCUAUGUGUAAUCAGUUUAUUCUUUAUUCCAAGUUAGCUUCCACAAAGUGUAUUGUUGUCAACAACAAUACUGGAUAAUACUGGAAACGGCAAUUUAAAAUCACAACUUUAAUAAGAAUUACAAUAUGAGCCACACAUAAAGAUCAGAUAAGUGAAAUGACUCAACACAUGAAACAAUAAAUAGCAGUCGUGUGUAAUGAAAACAAAUACAACAUUUUUAGUGAAUAACACAAACACCGUCCUGCUGCUGUAAAUACUCAGUAGAGCACUUCAUGUGCAUUGAUCCACAACUGAAGAUGGUCCUCACAAAAUGAAAAGUUCUUAUCCUGUUUGAGUAGCGUUUGUUUGAAGUUGUAAUGUCCAGCUGUUAUGGGUAAUCACUGAACCUUUAUUUAAGUUUAAACUUUAUACCUUUUUUGCAUAUUUGUGUCCUCAGUAGGAAGAAAGGUGGAGUAACAUCAGCCUUAUCCUUUGUAUCUGUAAGCUCCAUAGUUAAUAUGCAGUAUUAAAAAGCAUCAUGUGCAUAUUGAACAGCUUCAGUGACAAAGCCAUGCCUGUUUAUCAUAUAUUUGUUUUGCUUUGUUCUCUGCUCACUUCACUAAGUCCCGUUCCCGUGCCUGCCUGCCUGUUUGUCCCUCUGUGUAUUUGCCUCACACCUUUGUCCUAUAUGACAGAGAUUCUGUGCCAGAAACAAUCUGCAAUAUUGCAAAUAUUAUAUAGCAAACAUUACCAGUAAAUGUGUAAUCUCAUGACAGACGGGUCCAUCAUAUGGUCGGAAGUUCAUGACCGGCUACCUGUCUACACUGGGGCUGCAUGUGGGAGAAGGUCGGGUUGGAAGAGCCCUAAGUGAGCCUUAUCCGCCGUACCAUGAAUUCCGGCAUCAGUACACCACAGUAGGUGGUGACUUUUUUUCGUUAACAUGUCCUUUUGAUCAUGAUCCCGUGGAUGAAGGUGCAGCAAUACUGCGCAGAGAAUUAAAUAUUCGUUGGGAGAUAGUUAUCGGAUCACGCAUAGAUGUUCUUGCUUUUCCAGACAGUUAUCUUUCCGAGCGGUACCACAGUCCAUCAUCUACAUACAUAAUCUAAUCCGUCCUUACAUUUGCAACUUUACCAGCCGACAUCUCAGCAGAUAUUGUGUGUUGCGCUGCAUUUUUUUUUGCAAAUGGGAGUUUUCUGUACAAUGUGUUGAUGCAGAGCACAUGAGCAAGGCGACUGUAUGCAGGGCGGUGAGAAAAGUGUGUCUCGCCCUGAAACGGCUUUUACCAAUCUUUGUCGUUUUCCCUGGACAUAAACCCGUCAGAGUCAUCAAGGAGGAGUUCCACAGGAUUGCAGGUGAAUGAUGUAGAGAUCAGUUAAAUGAAUUUUAUUUAUUUAUUUUAUUAUAUUCGGUUAAUGACGUGCUGCAACCUCAGACUGGGAUUAGUAAUUUUAAUUUCUUUUAGGAUUUCCCAGUGUGAUCUCAGAGGAGAUUUAUACACCAGCACAAUGCACUCAAUAACCCAUCUGUGUCGUUCAGGGUCUGAAACAGGCCUCUGCUGCCAUCCCGUGUUCAACAGCAGCUUGACACAAAGCAUUGGCUCACGGUUUGUCUCUAUUCUGCUGCAUGUAACACAACAAUAAAGCUACACAGUGUCUACAUCACUUCAAAAUGAACUCAAAUGUUGUACCGGCAGCUUAAUGUGAAGUGGAAUUUGACAGGAAGACACAUCAGUGAGGGAAAUAACUGAAUUUUACAAUUUAAAUUAUUUAUCUAUUCAUCGUUGAAUGACAACAGAACUGUACUUGACUUAUUGGCCAUAUAAUUUAAUGUCAUUGUAACAUAAUAUAUAUACUAUUUAUGUGUGAAUGUUUUUCUAAUUGUACAUUUGUACACAGUAGCUCUCAUUUUGCUCAGUCGUUGUACAUAUAUUUGACGUAUUCUGAUGUAUGAGACAAAUAAAAAUUGAAUUUAUUUUAUUCAA